CAGUCAGAGGCGAUGAAGGACGUGCUAAUCUGCGAAAAGCGUCGGUAAGGUGAUAUGAACCGUUAUAACCGGCGAUGUCCGAAUGGGGAAACCCAGUGCAAUUCGUUGCACUAUCGUUAACUGAAUACAUAGGUUAACGAGGCGAACCGGGGGAACUGAAACAUCUAAGUACCCCGAGGAAAAGAAAUCAACCGAGAUUCCCCCAG
rnacentral:rRNA from 1 species